rnacentral:rRNA from 1 species
UGGGGAAUUUUGGACAAUGGGCGAAAGCCUGAUCCAGCAAUGCCGCGUGUGUGAAGAAGGCCUUCGGGUUGUAAAGCACUUUUGUCCGGAAAGAAAUCCUUGGCUCUAAUACAGUCGGGGGAUGACGGUACCGGAAGAAUAAGCACCGGCUAACUACGUGCCAGCAGCCGCGGUAAUACGUAGGGUGCAAGCGUUAAUCGGAAUUACUGGGCGUAAAGCGUGCGCAGGCGGUCCGCUAAGACAGAUGUGAAAUCCCCGGGCUUAACCUGGGAACUGCAUUUGUGACUGGCGGGCUAGAGUAUGGCAGAGGGGGGUAGAAUUCCACGUGUAGCAGUGAAAUGCGUAGAGAUGUGGAGGAAUACCGAUGGCGAAGGCAGCCCCCUGGGCCAAUACUGACGCUCAUGCACGAAAGCGUGGGGAGCAAACAGGAUUAGAUACCCUGGUAGUCCACGCCCUAAACGAUGUCAACUAGUUGUCGGGUCUUCAUUGACUUGGUAACGUAGCUAACGCGUGAAGUUGACCGCCUGGGGAGUACGGUCGCAAGAUUAAAACUNAAAUGAAUUGACGGGGUCUAGCUGUUUCCUG